UGGACACGUUAGUGUGCAUAGUAAGUUAUCUAACCAACCAGCAAUAUGGCAAUCCGCGGGCCGUGAGUCAGCCUUACCGAAUGGGGGGAAAGCAGCUUACUAACACUGGCACAGAAAAUGAGGGCGAAGAGACGGACGGGAAAUGAGAAAGACUGAAGUGGAGGGAGGCACAGGAGGAAUAAAAUGUGGCUGCUGAUGUCAAAGAUGCUGUAAGACGACGAGCUGUUAUCACAAGACCUGAUGAAAUUCUUCAACUCCUGACUUCCAGCAAUCCGACUACAUG